UACGGGGGGAGCAAGCGUUGUUCGGAUUUACUGGGCGUAAAGGGCGCGUAGGCGGUAGCACAAGUCAGUUGUGAAAUCUCCGGGCUUAACUCGGAAAGGUCAACUGAUACUGUGCGACUAGAGUGCAGAAGGGGCAACUGGAAUUCUCGGUGUAGCGGUGAAAUGCGUAGAUAUCGAGAGGAACACCUGCGGCGAAGGCGGGUUGCUGGGCUGACACUGACGCUGAGGCGCGAAAGCCAGGGGAGCGAAUGGG
rnacentral:rRNA from 1 species